rfam:Ordospora colligata OC4 contig_07, whole genome shotgun sequence.
GACUUCAUAGUUCAAUGGUAGAACGUCGGUCUACGGAACCGAAGGUUGGGGGUUCGAGCCCCCCUGGAGUCG